GGUGACGGGGAGGCGGGGCCAGGACCGGAAGUCGCGGAGUGUGUCUGGGACUACCCAGGCUGACAGAUGAGAAAACUGAAGCUUGGAGAGGUUAAGGAAGCUGCCCAACUCCACAUGACUCUUGGGAGCAGUGGGGUUGCAACAGGUAAUCCAAAUUUUUUUAAAUAAAAUGUUAUUUUUAUCUCA